UACGAAGGGGGCUAGCGUUGCUCGGAAUCACUGGGCGUAAAGGGUGCGUAGGCGGGUCUUUAAGUCAGGGGUGAAAUCCUGGAGCUCAACUCCAGAACUGCCUUCGAUACUGUAGAGCUUGAGUUCGGGAGAGGUGAGUGGAACUGCGAGUGUAGAGGUGAAAUGCGCAGAUAUCAGGAAGAACACCAAUGGCGAAAGCAGCUUUCUGGGACGGUACUGACGCUGAGACACGAAAGCGUGGGUAGCAAACAGG
rnacentral:rRNA from 1 species